GGGGUUGUGGCUCAGUGGUAGAGUGCUCACCUCGCAUAUGUGAGGCCCUGGGUUCAAUCCUCAGCACCACA
rnacentral:tRNA from 1 species